UGCUCCCAAAAAAGUUCUGGCUUCUGACUCUCAUUUACGUCCCGAUAGAUAUGCACUUGAGCAGGGUGACCUCCCUAAAGCUGGUGCUGAAAAGAGCAGGUUUCGUUACUUGGGUUCUGUUGCUGAGAAUAGAGGACGAGCACUUCAUGUUUCCGAACUUGAGGAGUUGUUGAGUGCUUGCACUGAGUUAGAAGUGAGCUUCAUAGUCUUCAAUCAUCAGUGGACCCUUAAUGCAAAUAUUGCAUAAAUUGAUCAAUUACAAAUCCAUUGUGUAA